rnacentral:sRNA from 1 species
AAUCUGCUGCGGGCAGAUGAAAUGGAUAUGGCUGUCAAAACCGCCAGCCGUCAGAAUAUGGCCUUCGGCGGCAAUGGCCUCGGUGCCGGGGCCGAUGAUGAUGUCCACACCUGGCUGGGUAUCCGGGUUGCCGGCUUUGCCAAUGCCGCAGAUCACGCCGUCCUUCAGCCCGAUAUCUGCCUUGUAGAUGCCGGAUGCGUCUACCACCAGCGCAUUGGUGAUCACCGUAUCAACCGCCCCUUUGGCGCGGCUGGCCUGUGACUGGCCCAUGCCGUCGCG